GCAGUCGACGGCAGCACAGCAGAGCUUGCUCUGUGGGUGGCGAGUGGCGGACGGGUGAGGAAUACGUGGGAAUCUGCCCAGUCGUGGGGGAUAACGUAGGGAAACUUACGCUAAUACCGCAUGCGCCCUUCGGGGGAAAGCCGGGGACCUUCGGGCCUGGCGCGAUUGGAUGAGCCCACGUCGGAUUAGCUAGUUGGCGGGGUAAAGGCCCACCAAGGCGACGAUCCGUAGCUGGUCUGAGAGGAUGAUCAGCCACACUGGAACUGAGACACGGUCCAGACUCCUACGGGAGGCAGCAGUAGGGAAUAUUGGACAAUGGGCGCAAGCCUGAUCCAGCCAUGCCGCGUGAGUGAAGAAGGCCCUCGGGUUGUAAAGCUCUUUUGUCCGGAAAGAAAAGCGCCGGGUUAAUACCCUGGUGUCCUGACGGUACCGGAAGAAUAAGCACCGGCUAACUUCGUGCCAGCAGCCGCGGUAAUACGAAGGGUGCAAGCGUUACUCGGAAUUACUGGGCGUAAAGCGUGCGUAGGUGGUUCGUUAAGUCCGAUGUGAAAGCCCUGGGCUCAACCUGGGAAUGGCAUUGGAUACUGGCGGGCUAGAGUGCGGUAGAGGGUAGUGGAAUUCCCUGUGUAGCAGUGAAAUGCGUAGAGAUCGGGAGGAACAUCCGUGGCGAAGGCGACUACCUGGACCGCACUGACACUGAGCACGAAGCGUGGGAGCA
rnacentral:rRNA from 1 species